GAAAAUUAUAGUAGAGUUAUGACUUUUUGUAGAGUAAUAUGUUCAUAGUAAUUUUAAAACUCUUAAAAUCUCAUAACCAAAAAUACCGUUCUGACUCUUGAAUUGUUGAAAUAAUUUUAGGGUCUUUAUACCACAUUUUAAGUAUUAGAGUCAUUAUUUUAGAAAGCUAUCAACUUAGGACAAUAAACAUCUUUACUAAACAUUUAAUAAUGUAUAAUCGGAAAAUGUACAAAAUUGAGAUUGCAAUAUAUAGAAUAUGUAUUCAUUCUAUUUAAGACAGAAUGAACAUUAAAUGUAAUUGUGCAUGAUUUACUGAAACUGUUUUUCCUAAACAUUCAUAUGACCUAUUCCUCCAUAUGACCUAUUCCUCCCCAAAAGUAUGUUAGUCAUGGGAGGGAACCUUAAAAAACAAACUCUUUGCAUAAUUUUUUCCUAUUCAUCCAACUUUCCCUUCCCCUUGAUAUAUUCACCCUAAAACCAUUGGUUAAGGUGGAAUUCCAUUGUACUUAGUUUCUGUUCUAUAGCCACAUUAAUCUUACAGAGUAAAUCUUUCAGAUAACAAUUGCAGUGGCCACUUUGGAACAAACAGAAAACUAAAGCUAUUAUUUUAGUUUAAGGCAGUAUCUAUAUGCAGGAUUUCCUUUCUCUUUGUAUGUGGGCCUUGAGCAUCUUCAGAUAAAGGAGAAGACAAAGCAACUGAUACAGUUGAAGGCUUGUUGCAUCACAGUCAUCUGCUUUAGAAUCAGAGAUGUUUGAGAACUUCACAUAAUUACUACCGGUCAUGGCCAUGGAAAAGAAGUGGGGGGAAAUACUGAAAAAAUAUGCAGUUCAAUAAGUAAAGAGAGUUAAAUCUUUUCCCAACUUCGUCAUCACUAAGAAGCCCAGUGUCAUCCCUUGCAUAUCAUAGCAUAGACAGAGAAUAUAUUCAUCUUAAUGGGAAAAGUCUUGAUUAUGGGAGAAUCAGCCAAUAUAUUCCCAAUGGGACAUAAACUCCAUGAAGAUGGGAGCCUCCUUUAUCAUAUUCACUAUUGCAUUCUCAGCACUUACUCAAAUAUUUACUGAGGAAACAAAUACUCAGCUUUAGGAGAACGCUGGCUGUGUUAAAGAUGUGACUAAUAAUUUACGAUAGGAAAAAGUAAAUGUGAAGGUGGGGAGUGACUAAUUUCACAAAAAUCUGUAAGUAUAAACAGGAUAAACACUCGAGGGACCUGAUGAGACUGAAAACAUCAAACACAGCCUCUGGGACAAGGAAAGUCUUUAAGAACUUUAGGGGUAUAUUAUUCUCAUACUCAAACACAUCUGCAGACCACCAAAGAUACUUCUCCUCGCAUCACUGUGAUCCUCUGGGCACAUCAGUCACAAAGAACCAGGCAAGUUAGUCCAACACGUUCACAUUUCUCCAAGUUGAUGCAAUAUCUGUGUACAUACUCAUACUCAGCAUAUGAAGAAUGAAGAACAAUUAGCAAAUUCCUUGCCUGAAUGUAUAAUUUUUCUCUUCCUAAAGGCUUUAAGUCUUCUGAAAAUUAAUAGAAGCAAGAAGGUGACAAAACUCUAUGGACACUCUUGGGCUUAAAUCUUGCCAGUCAAGUGUUUGAUCACAGACAAGAACUGACCCUCUCUGUGCUCACCAAAUGUCAUGCAGAGACUCUAUGACCUACUACCUCCUUGUGUUCUUCCUGCCUCUCUAGCUGUUCAGUUCAGACUUCUUAGGAGGUUCUCAGAGAUACCUCAAACUGCACAAGUCCAGGGGGAGAAUCUAGAACCUUUUCUAUACUGUAGAGGCUUUCUUGAAUGCCUCUUUGUCCCCACUGUAGCUCUUUUUGUUUAAACUUGUCAGUUGAUCUCUUAUGGCAGCCUUGCCCACCUUUGAUUUAUCCCUUAUACCAAGGUUUCUCAAUUUCCACAGUCUUGACAUUUGGUACUAGAUAAUCCUUUGUUGUGGGGGCUGUUAUGUGCAUUGUGAGAUGCUGAGCAGUGUCCCUGGCCUCUACCAGGAGAUGCCAGUAGCAUCCCGAGUUGUGACAAUCAAAAAUGUCUCUAGACAUUGCCAAAUGUCCCUCGGGGCAAAACUGUCACCUAGCUGAGAACCACUUCUCAAUCUGACCCUGAAUUAUCUUUGAGAAACCAAUAUUUACUGCAGUAUACCCUUAAAUAGUUGAGGGCUCCCAUUGUCUAUGAAUAAACUCCCUGGCAUGACAUAUUUUGCCUUUAUUAUAUCAUCCAACACCCCCCACCAGCACAGGCAGUUAGGUACCUUAUCUGCUGCUGACAGUCUCGUCCAGGGUUUGUCUGCCCUCCUGUCAUAGUCCUGCGCUUUUGCUACUUCCACGUAAUCACUGAAUCGUAUCAGAAUUUUUCUGUCUCUUAAUUCAUCAACAGUGGGUCUCUGAUUAAGCUAAAAUUAAAGAUCAUCAUAGUUAAGUAUCACAUGCCAAACUAGCUUUUUUGAAGUACUCUGAACAAACAGCACUUCUCUUAAAAAACAAAACAAAACAAAAAAAACCUGAAACUGGAAAAUAUAACCCAAAUACAAGCAAUCUCUAAUGUGAAGGGCUGAAAUUAUAUACUGUACUCUUAAAUCACAAUCCCCCUUCCUCCAACAUAUUUUAUCAGAAGGAGUCACACCCCCAGUAGUACAUAGCACCAGCUCAAGGAAUGGUUAGUGAAUUAACUUAGAUUUUAUGGCAUCACUGGCUUCAGAUACAAUUAGAUAAGCUUUUUAAAAGUACUAAUAAAGUUAUUAUAUGUCCAGCUUAGGAAGGAUAUUCUGUUAAUUUCAAGAGAAUUAUUAUGGAGCAGCACAACGAAGAAGGGGAAUCCAGAACACUUGAAUUUAGAAAUGGUCAAGGCUUUAAAAGUAGAUUAAGAUUUAUAGAGUUGCUACCUGUAUUGGCCAUAGUAAAUGUUAACUGUUUGAGUCACAGAGAACAAACCUUUGAGUCUAAUAAAGCUUUCUGCAACUGAGGAACUUCUAGACAUAUUGGAGGUGAACAAAAGCGAUGAGUGUAAAAUGUGACUAAAACACUGAUACCCAGGUAUGCUUUUCCUAGACACUGUAAAUUAAGAAAAUGCCAAUCAACUUCUGGCUUCCACCUGAACAUAAGUAAAAAAUGUCAUGUGCAUUGUGCACCUCUCCAAGUGCUACCGUGCUAGGGAAGGACUUCGUCCAUAGGGAACGUCAGAGGGAGUUAAUUCAUUGUUGCUGAGCAAAUAUCCUGAUUUAACUGAUGCCAUGAUGUCCAGGAGAACAUUAUUCAUGAUCACAGAGUGAUACCUAGCAUUACCCAUCCCACCUGCUACCGAAGCAGCUGUUCUCUAGACCACCUUUUAUUAUUCAGGCAAUAAAAUGCUUAUACUACCUUUCUUGUCAAUCUUUGCUUGAUUUCUCUUCUUUCUUCCUGCUCUGUCUGAUCAUUCCUUUCUGUGAAAGAUUAAAAUAGGAAAAAAAAAAUAACAAAGAGAAACAGGUUGAAACGUUCUUCUCUUCAGCAGGGAAGUGUUCCCAAGAUAUCCAUAUUUCUGGGAGCUGAAGUUAAUUCCACAUCACUCAUGGUGUUUUCUUCCCACUUUGUCAGUCACUGCUCAGGAGAUCAUGGUCUCAUUACACAGAAAUACUUGUACUAAGCAAAGCUUUGCUGUCAUCCCAACCUGGUCUCCUCAGCCCUUCUGUGCAUUAGAAACAACCACAGAUAUGGCUGCUGUUUGUUUAAGGAAGUAGACACCUCUGUGUCUGUCUUUCUCCCCAAAUAUCUUUAUAUUUACAUCUAGCACUUAGAUGCCACAUAAAAAAAGCUGUAGUAGACUAAGUAAAUAAAUGUAUAUGUACAUUUCAAUAUAAAUAGCACUGCCACUAAUUUUUUUCCUUAAUAAGCGUACAGACUUUUUAACCAACAUAAAACAUGGAACACCUUCUUCAGCUCCUGGGCAGCAUAUGCUUGCCUGGAAUUUAUAUGUUCAGACUAUAUUUCAAAUCUUAACACAUCUAUGAACCUCGCUGACUCUCCAUUGCUGAAGCGUGAACACUGUUAUAUGACAGUGCCUUUUAAAGGAGCCCAAGUCCCUCAGCAAAAUUAGCUUUGCUUGGUAAGUUGUGACUAUUAACAUUCAAGCUGUGCUCGCACCUACCCUUGGAAGCCAAAAAUAGACGAAAGUGCUGAGAUAUAGUAUAAAACGUAAGCUUCCCCCUGGGAUACAAGAUAAUGGCUGUCCUAUUUCUGGUGUUCUCUGUUGCUAAAUAAAGCCUUAUGUCCCUGACCUGAACAUAGCUCCAUUCCUAGGAAAGAGAUUUCAACAAUCAGCACUCCUAGAAACACUGGUAGGUUUUGGUAAGGGAAAUCCUGCCACUUGCAAUUAACACAAUUUCACAUUAUCUGCCUUUAUGUAAAAGAUGCGUUUCAAAUAUUUAUACAUUUGUGGGAUUGGUUAUAUGAGAGUUUAAUAUAUUGUGCUUUCCAGUAAUUUUUUUUAAGUGAGUCAUCUUGGAUUAGGGUGUUUUAGAAAAGGUAAUGAAAUCCUCUUUCUGCUUAAUUCUUUAUACAAGUGAGAAACCAGAAGAAACCAUACUUUUAAGGUAUCAUCAGAAAGCUGAUACAAUUAGAGAGACAUUGUGAAAGUGUCCAGACAAGGCAAGCCAUGAGGGAUUUACGUGACGUAAAAUGUUUCAGAUUUCUUUAAAAUAGGCCAUGGGCAGCUCCCAAGUGCAGCUUCCAUGUGAAAAGAUUGAAACAAAGUCAGAUCUUUUUUUUUUUUUUAAUCCUGAAAAAUGCCAUAAUUACUACGAAGGUCACCAGCAGGGUCUUUGGAGAACUGAUCUUUGAAAGUUCCUGUCAGAGUGCUGCUUUGUGCCAGGCGCUCUGUUGGAGACCUCCUCCAAGAAGUCCUCCCUGUUAGCCUAAGCCCACAGACCUCCCCUUCUGAGCUCCCCUUAGUGAUAUGUUUAUGGAUUUCUUAUUUCCAGACCCAGAACACCCUCUGCAUUAUACAAAGCAAGGGACCCAUAAUCAGGACUGCUAUACUCAUAUUUUCUGGAAAUAGCUCCAGCAGCUUGGACAGUUAUACCUGAGACUUCCAUGAAUAUCCAGAAAUGUAUUACUGCUUCUGAUGCAGUAGUUAAGAAGAUGGGCAAUGGAGUUAGGCAGACCUGGGGUUGAACUCUAGUGCUAUCCUUUUCCCAAUAUUCAUUUAUUAAAAAGUGCAAACCUCACAAAUAUGUUGCAAUGAUUAAAUGAGGGAAUAUAUACCAAGUACUGAAUAUAGUCCCUGGCACAGAUUGGGCCUAAUAAAGAAUUACCAUCACCAUAUAAAGGGACCCCUGCUCUUCUGCUUUUCUAUCCACGUUAUAGUGUUAUAUGGGCGGAGUUUUGAGUGCUCCUCAGAUAUGACUGCAGUUAGUCAUGAGUUCCCCCUUGAAGCAAAUACAAAAGUGAUAUUCUAAGAAUUGGUUACAAGAAGAAAAUACAAUACAGUAUGAGUGCUUGAAGUCCUGUGUAUCUAGAGCCUAUGAGUAUGAUGUUUCAUACUAGGCUAUAUAUAGUUACCCUAUUCUCAUCUCCACAGAACAAAAGUAAAACCAAACACCCACCACAAACCUAGCAGUAAAAUUCUCAGGUCCUUCCACUCAGGACACUAGAGAGGGCUUCCGAGCUAAGGACAAACCUACAUUCACUGAUGAAGGCACAGUGUUUAUGGCGGGAUUGCCAUGGCCACCGCAGAGGAAACCCAUUUUCCCUUUCAUGCACUGAAGAUUAACACAAUUAGAAGUACUUGCUGAUGGGAAGACCUGGUUGCCCACGAUAGGAAGGAAGAGGCUGCUACUGAAAGAAGACAUGGUUCCUGGGUUAAAGGUCUGGGCUGUAGUACUCUCUUCCUGUUGCUGACAGCAGGCUACUUGGAAUGUGGUGCUUCCUGUGUCUUGAACUUGCCUGGUUCAAGUCUGGACUGCUACUUUUAGUAGCAUCUGCAACUUACAAGCUUUAUAAAUAAGUGACUUAAUUUUUAAAAAUUCAAAUAUUUGGCAACUGAAACAGCUUGACUUUUCUGUCUGCCUACUUAAUUAAGCAUGUUAUCAAUGAAGAGCUUUUCUUUAAAUCCUCAGAGAUGGUAUAGUUAACAUAGAACAGUAGUCACUAUAUCUUAAGUUUAAAAAGUAAAAUGAAGAAGUCUUUAUCUGAGGGUUAUUUUCAACAAUCUAUAAAGGAGGGGAUUGUUUUAGGCAGUUAAUGAAGGCACUGAGGCAAAGAAAGGAGGGAGGAAUCAAUUCAAGUUCAGUACCCAGACCAACAAGGGGCUCUGCGGUAUUUUCUGACAGAAAGUCAGCUUGGUACCAUUAUAACUUCAUAAAAAGAUGUUCACAAAUAAGAAAACAAACUCAGAGAAAGUCUGCAGUAUUCAUCACAUAAAGAGAAAAAAAGUCCUUUAAAAAUCCAAGCCAUUAGAAGACACUUUCUGUGGAAAAUGUUUUAAAAACUGAAAAUGACUAGAUAAAGAACUAUUGGAGAAACACUUUUUCAAGAGGUUUGGCCACCCCUAAAUCACUGACUUUAUGGAAUAUUUAAUGGAAUAUAGUGCCCUAGAGCAUGGAGGUUACUCAUGAACACCUAUGCUCAGCAUAUGCUAUAAUUGUCCACCUAACGGGAAAUGCAAGGGGUUGCAAGGCUGGGAGCAACAGAGGGUCCUGGAACCUCAAAGUCCUGAGCCACAGGAAAGCUUCUCAUGGCUUCACCGUUUCCCUGAGCUGACUGCUUUAUUCCUCCCAAGUGUAACAGGCAAGGGGCGUGUCCUUCUCUAGUGUGUUCAUGCGGUUCAUGCUUUGUGAUUUCUAUAGCCAUGAAGAACCCCGACCCAAACUGCCAGGAAGACCUGCUUGAAACCUAACGCACUUAGACAUAUGGGACUAACCCUGAAAAUAAAAACAUCUUUAUGCUAAGAGGAAAGGAGUUUUUUUAAAUUAAAAAAAAUGUUUCUAGGUAUAUCAGCUUUCCUUUGGGGCUUGCUUUCAGAAUUCAGCAGCAGCUCAGGUUUACUGGGAGCAUGGAGCAUUCCGCUUGCAGAGAAGGGCUGGGUUAUGGGAACUCAGGAUUUGUGCAACAGCCUCACCACACGUGAAGGAAAACCUCUAGAGGAAUCACCAGCUACUCACGUUUCAAGAUAUUUCUUCUCUCCAGCUCUUCCACGGCAGGUCUUUGGCUCAGCCGUCUGCGGAAAAACACUAAAAUUACAUUUUGCACCAUAGUGG
rnacentral:lncRNA from 10 species